CGAAGAGCGAAGUAAAUUGCUUCUAAUGCGCCACUUGCCAUAUGCCCCGAGCAAGCCCGUUCUCUCUGCGCCACGAGAGACUCGAUCUGCGAGCUGAAUCUUCCACGAGGCCAGUUCUUCCAGUUCUCCGACUAGACGGGCCAACUCCUCUUUCCUGUGUUGCGCGAACCCCUUCUCGCGUCUGCAACGACGGCAUCACGUGGCUCACAGUUCGCGACCAUUUCUCCCGCGAUUCUUAACCAAUAAACGACCGUCGGG
rnacentral:misc_RNA from 1 species